CCUACGGGUGGCAGCAGUGGGGAAUAUUGGACAAUGGGGGGAACCCUGAUCCAGCCAUGCCGCGUGUGUGAAGAAGGCCCUCGGGUUGUAAAGCACUUUCAGUGAGGAAGAACGCCUGGUGGUUAAUACCCAUCAGGAAAGACAUCACUCACAGAAGAAGCACCGGCUAACUCCGUGCCAGCAGCCGCGGUAAUACGGAGGGUGCGAGCGUUAAUCGGAAUUACUGGGCGUAAAGCGCGCGUAGGUGGCUUGAUAAGCCGGUUGUGAAAGCCCCGGGCUCAACCUGGGAACGGCAUCCGGUACUGUCAAGCUAGAGUGCAGGAGAGGAAGGUAGAAUUCCCGGUGUAGCGGUGAAAUGCGUAGAGAUCGGGAGGAAUACCAGUGGCGAAGGCGGCCUUCUGGACUGACACUGACACUGAGGUGCGAAAGCGUGGGUAGCAAACAGGAUUAGAUACCCUUGUAGUC
rnacentral:rRNA from 1 species